UACGUAGGGUGCAAGCGUUGUCCGGAAUUAUUGGGCGUAAAGAGCUCGUAGGCGGUCUGUCACGUCGGCUGUGAAAACCCGAGGCUCAACCUCGGGCCUGCAGUCGAUACGGGCAAACUAGAGUACUGCAGGGGAGACUGGAAUUCCUGGUGUAGCGGUGAAAUGCGCAGAUAUCAGGAGGGACACCGGUGGCGAAGGCGGGUCUCUGGGCAGUAACUGACGCUGAGGAGCGAAAGCGUGGGGAGCGAACAGG
rnacentral:rRNA from 1 species